GGGUAGCGGAUAUCUGCGGGUACGGAUAAUAUAAUACCCGCACCUGACCCAUUUAUAAACGGGUAUUAAAAUACCCGCUAAUUGUGGGUUUCGGGUAGUAAAUAUAUUAAGUUUUCAGUUUUGUAAUCAAUGCUCCGAAGAGCAUUAUUCCUAUUUUAAGGUUUUUCUGUUUUAGUCUUUAUUGUUUUCUGUUAGAGACUAUCUC
rnacentral:lncRNA from 1 species